rnacentral:rRNA from 1 species
AGUGAACGCUGGCGGUAGGCCUAACACAUGCAAGUCGAACGGCAGCACAGUAAGAGCUUGCUCUUACGGGUGGCGAGUGGCGGACGGGUGAGGAAUACAUCGGAAUCUACUUUUUCGUGGGUGAUAACGUAGGGAAACUUACGCUAAUACCGCAUACGACCUACGGGUGAAAGCAGUGGAUCUUCGGACCUUGCGCGAUUGAAUUAGCCGAUGUCGCAUUAGCUAGUUGGCGGGGUAAAGGCCCACCAAGGCGACGAUCCGUAGCUGGUCUGAGAGGAUGAUCAGCCACACUGGAACUGAGACACGGUCCAGACUCCUACGGGAGGCAGCAGUGGGGAAUAUUGGACAAUGGGCGAAAGCCUGAUCCAGCAAUACCGCGUGGGUGAAGAAGGCCUUCGGGUUGUAAAGCCCUUUUGUUGGGAAAGAAAAGCAGCAGGUUAAUACCCCGCCGUUCUGACGGUACCCAAAGAAUAAGCACCGGCUAACUUCGUG